CAUUCCCUGUUACGGGGAAGAUUACGUCCAGGGAGCAGAACCACUGAUUUAAAGUGUGACAGUUCCAGCAGAUCAGGGGCAUCAGAGGGAGAAAUACUGACACGGGAACAUAUUGAAGUCAAGGAAGACAGUGCCAGACUACCAGUCGCUCCGAUAUCAGUCUCAGAAUACUGUGCAUCUGAAAAUCAUCCUCCUCACGGGGACCCCGAGGCACAGAAGCCCUUCAGGAAAAUGCAGCAACAGCAGGAAGAGGAAAGUCUGAGCAGCAGCAGUGACCUCACAGUUGCCAUGAGUGGGAUAUAUCUUGAGGAAGAGAAUACCAUGCAGCAGGAACAGCAAGUACAGAGGCCCUCUAGUGGGAGCAUACGUGGUGUUUCUAGGAACAGCAAAGAAGCCAGUGCAGCUGGACCACAACAGGCUCUAUAAUCACAGUGACAUUCUGAAAGAAGACCUUGAAGCCUGUGGAACAGCUGUCCUUCACCAGCCUCCGAGACUCUUACCUGGAGGUGGCAGCCAUGAAAAGCAAGUCAGAUCUGAACAAGCGUCAGCCUCAGGCUUGUUGAGGGCACAGUUGGGUCAGCACAUGGCCACCUUGAAAGAACGUGAUAAUUCUAUCACAGAAGAGGUAGCUAAGAAGUCUGAAG